rnacentral:rRNA from 1 species
UAAUUGAAGAGUUUGAUCAUGGCUCAGAUUGAACGCUGGCGGCAGGCCUAACACAUGCAAGUCGAGCGGCAGCACAAGGGAGUCUACUCCUGAGGUGGCGAGCGGCGGACGGGUGA